rnacentral:tRNA from 1 species
AUUUAAAUAGUUUAAGGAAAAUAUUGAUUUGUGGAGUCAAAGUUAUAUAAAAUAUUUUAAAUA